rnacentral:misc_RNA from 1 species
GCAAACUUGGUCAUUUAGAGGAAGUAAAAGUCGUAACAAGGUUUCCGUAGGUGAACCUGCGGAAGGAUCAUUAUCGAGUUUUUGAACGGGUUGUAGCUGGCCUUCCGAGGCAUGUGCACGCCCUGCUCAUCCGCUCUCACACCUGUGCACUUACUGUGGGUUUUGGACGGCGCAAAGCGGAUUCGCUGAGCGUUGUCUGUGCCCGCGUCCACUACAAACACUUUAAAGUAUCAGAAUGUGAAAGCGAUGCUAUACAUCAAUAUACAACUUUCAGCAACGGAUCUCUUGGCUCUCGCAUCGAUGAAGAACGCAGC